rnacentral:lncRNA from 1 species
UGACGGCUUGACCGUCGGGGGAUAGCUCCGGCGUGAGAGUCAGUACAGGCGAUCACAAGGUUAACAAUGGAGGGAUAAAUAUCUAGUGACUUGAGAGUAAUAAUUAAUUAGUUCCCUUUCACCGUGUGUCAUCCUUGCUUUAUAUCCCCAAAGUCCGGUUUGUCCUGUAUGCAACUGACUUCCCUGGGCCCACCUCCUUUAGCCGACUAAGCCCUGUCCAAUCCUCAUUAAAUGCAAUGCAGAGAUGACAGUCAAAGUUCUAUCCCCAAUCUACACCGGUCAAAGCCCAAGUGGAACCACACUCAUCUAGUAAUCUGGCCCACUGCUACAUCCCAAUACUUCAUAGGCCCCAAAAUAAAGAUAAUAUCCACCCAAUGGGCUGGCCCAAUGAACCGGCCUAAUACUUUCAAGACCCACCUCAACAUGUCUAAAGUAUUAUGGCCCAACAUUGCCCCCCAGUCUUUUAUUAAACAGGAGGUUUAAUGAAAGAGUAUAAGUGGAAUCGGUUCAAAAUAAAAGGAAUUAUAAUGAGAUUAACAAAGGCCCAAGAUACAACUUACCGAGGCCCAAAAGAGAAGCCCACUCCGGUUAACAAUGAAGACUAAAACCGCACGCUACUUCUUUAACUUCACAAUCACCGUUGGCAUUAAAUGAGCCACCCCUGAACCUUGUGAAAAGUUGAAUAGAACUCUAGUAUAAAAGCUGCUUUCUCCCAAAUCUGACAGUUUUACCAACUCAAUUCGAAAUUCGGAUAUUUCUUACUCCUUUUCUUCUCCAAAUUUCUCUCUGCAACUAAUUAACAAUGGCUUCUCAGAAUACUAAUCAAAAUUCUCCACUUCGCAUAGCCCCCACUACCAUUGUUCUUCCCAAUUUCCAUCAGUAGUUCUCGUAAAUAAUUGUUCUUCAUCUGUUGCAGUGUCUCUGAUCAAACCAACGUCAAUCGACCGAAGGGAUCUAGACAGAUUUCUUUCUGGUACAUCUU